rnacentral:lncRNA from 12 species
GCUGACGAAGCUGGGUGUGAUUGGCUGCCAUAUGCUGGGAGGGCUCUGUGAGAAGGAAGGGCUGCAGUCUUUCAGCAACAGAGUUUAGGCUGUGUCUUUGCUUCAUCAUCUGAGGAAAAAUCCCCAGAUAAGUCACAAGGCUUCCUGAGGAAAAAAAAACUCCAAAACAUUACAGGCUGCUCAUCGUUUCGUGUGAGAAUUAGUUACCAUGAUGCGAUGGGAAAGAUAUGGCUGUUUGUUUAUAUCAGAUGUUCCUGUUCAUGUUGGGAAUGUGUCGAAUAGACAGGGCUAAACAAGGUCAGUGACUUAAAAAGUGCCUUUGCCAAGUCACUUUUCCGAGCGAGGACUGCUACGCCUGUGUUCUCAAAAUCCCAUCUUUGCCAGCCAGACAUUGCCUUCACCUCACACCUGGCAGAAGAUACCUCAGCUGUCUCCAUUUGCCAAUUAGUUGAUGGGAAACUGAAAGCAGAAAAAGGAUUAUUGUUAUUAUUCCUGGGACAUGAACAAAUGACUGCAUUCCUUUUCUCAUGUAAUCGAUAUCAGCAAGCAACCGUCAGAGGACUGCUAUUCUAUCAAGGAGUGCCAUUGCAUUGAUGGACCUUGGCUUAAAACCAGUGCAUCCGUGAUUACAAUCAACAAACCCACGUGUUUUGCAGACAGAAAUGCGACUGAGCAUGUGUUUUCCCAGCCAAAAGUCUACAAGCGGGACUUAAUGAUUGAUGAGUGACUGCUUGCUGAUAAACUUUCUCUGCUUGUUCUGCUUUGUGUGCGUUGGACGCCGUUAAUCGUCCCCCACCGUUCGUUUUUUUUAACUUUCUUUUCAAUUAGGGGGGGGGGGGGGGGGGGGGGGGGGGGGGGGGGGGGGGGGGGGGGGGGGGGGGGGGGGGGGGGGG